GGGAACUGAAACAUCUAAGUACCCUGAGGAAAAGAAAUCAAUUGAGACUCCCCUAGUAGCGGCGAGCGAACGGGGAAGAGCCUAAACCAUAUCAGUGUAAGGGUCUGGCCGUUGCUGAUAUGGUGUCGUGGGACGAUUCUAGCGGUCCAGUUAGCCGCAAGAGAGUUACAAAGCAGAGCGCUAGCAGAACGGCUUGGAAAGGCCGGCCAGAGAGGGUGACAGCCCCGUAAGCGAAAGCGUAUCUGUCUCUCGAGUAUGUUCCCGAGUAUCGCAGGGCACGUGAAACCCGGCGAGAAUCUGGGAGGACCAUCUUCCAAGGCUAAGUACUACCUGCCGACCGAUAGUGAACUAGUACCGUGAGGGAAAGGUGAAAA
rnacentral:rRNA from 1 species